rnacentral:rRNA from 1 species
UACAGAGGUCUCAAGCGUUGUUCGGAUUCAUUGGGCGUAAAGGGUGCGUAGGUGGCGCCGUAAGUCGGGUGUGAAAUUUCGGAGCUUAACUCCGAAACUGCAUUCGAUACUGCGGUGCUUGAGGACUGGAGAGGAGACUGGAAUUCAUGGUGUAGCAGUGAAAUGCGUAGAGAUCAUGAGGAACACCGAUGGCGAAGGCAGGUCUCUGGGCCGCAACUGACGCUGAGGAGCGAAAGCAUGGGGAGCGAACAGG